AUGCCUGGCCCGGAGCACCAACAAACACAUGCCCACUCGUAUCUACACACUAUCUCUCUUUUACCUACACGCCGCCAUUUUAAAUCCAGCUCCAUACAACGCUCCGCCGCCGCCGCUGCUGCCGUGACCCGGACUGCGCGCCAGCACCCCACAGCCGACGACUCUGCCACCAUGGAGGACACGAAGGAGUACAGCAACAUAGAGGAAUUCGCAGAGGGAUCCAAGAUCAACACGAGCAAGAAUCAGCAGGAUGACGGUAAAAUGUAUAUUGGAGGCUUGAGCUGGGAUACGAGCAAGAAAGAUCUGACUGAAUAUUUGUCUCGAUUUGGGGAAGUUGUAGACUGUACAAUAAAAACAGAUCCAGUGACUGGAAGAUCAAGAGGAUUUGGAUUUGUGCUUUUCAAAGAUGCUGCUAGUGUUGAUAAGGUUUUGGAACUGAAAGAACACAAAUUGGAUGGCAAAUUGAUAGACCCCAAAAGGGCCAAAGCUUUAAAAGGGAAAGAACCCCCCAAAAAGGUUUUUGUGGGUGGAUUGAGCCCAGAUACUUCUGAAGAACAAAUUAAAGAAUAUUUUGGAGGCUUUGGAGAGAUUGAAAAUAUUGAACUUCCCAUGGAUACAAAAACAAAUGAAAGAAGAGGAUUUUGUUUUAUUACAUAUACAGACGAAGAGCCAGUAAAGAAAUUGUUAGAAAGCAGAUAUCAUCAAAUUGGUUCUGGGAAGUGUGAAAUCAAAGUUGCACAACCCAAAGAGGUAUACAGGCAGCAAUAGCAACAACAAAAAGGAGGAAGAGGUGCUGCAGCUGGUGGACGAGGUGGUACUAGGGGUCGUGGACGAGGUCAGGGCCAAAACUGGAACCAAGGAUUUAAUAACUAUUAUGAUCAAGGAUAUGGAAAUUACAAUAGUGCCUAUGGUGGUGAUCAAAACUAUAGUGGCUAUGGCGGCUAUGAUUAUACUGGGUAUAACUAUGGGAACUAUGGAUAUGGACAGGGAUAUGCAGACUACAGUGGGCAACAGAGCACUUACGGCAAGGCGUCUCGAGGGAGUGGCAAUCACCAAAACAAUUACCAGCCAUACUAAAGGAGGAUGUUGGAGAAAACAGGAGGAGAUUGCUAAAGUUAACCCAUCUUGCAAGACGACAUUGAAGAUUGGUCUUCUGUUGAUCUAAGAUGAUUAUUUUGUAAAAGACUUUCUAGAGUACAAGGCACAACUGUCCAACUGUAUAUAGCCGCCAAUUAGUUUUCUUUGUUUUUACUUUGUCUUUUGCUAUCUGUGUUAUGACUCGAUGUGGAUUUGUGUUUAUACAAAUUUUAUUUGUAUGAUUUCAUGUUAAACCUCAAAUAAAUGCUUCCUUAUGUGAUUGUUUUUCUGCGUCAGGCACUAAAUCGCUCUGUAAAAGUGUAAUUUAAAAUAAGCAAUAAUUAAGGCACAGUUUAUUUUGCAGGGAGUAUUGAUCCAUAGGGAGAAACUGUGGUCCUUUAUGAAUAGCCAGCUACAGUGUCCCCCUGUUCCCCAUUUUUGUUAGAUGUAUACUAUCUAAGGCUUCAUUUCCCU